rnacentral:lncRNA from 1 species
AUACUUAACCAUAAAGGCACAUUUAUCAACUCGCAUUGUGUGACGAAUGAAUAAGCAAGGUUACCAAAAUACAGAGCUUAUAACGCUACAGGUGAGUGACGGUUUGAUGCAGCGUCAAGACUGGACCAGCUGCAGACCUGCUAAUCGCCCCGUAGCUGGAGGAGUCCGUCAGUGGAUCAGCUGUCAUUUCAGAGCGUUUGUGUUGUAAACUACUGAUUGUACCUCCCCCGUAUUAUAUUUUGUGCUUGGCCACAUAAUGACAUGAAUUAAGCUUUAAAUUAAAUUGUAAGAUUUUGACAUCUAAAUUCCUUUUUUAGAAUGCAGAUUCAGAUAGAAUUGGUUUUGGCAAAUGUAAUUUGUCAUACUUAAUUCUUUUUUUUUUUAAAUACUACACGAGGCAAGACGUUUUCAUGUACAAAGCACUUGUCUAUUCAGAUAGAAUUGGUUUUGGCAAAUGUAAUUUUGUCAUACUUAAUCUUUUUUUUUUUUAAAUUCACACGAGGCAAGACGUUUUCAUGUACAAAGCACUUGUCUGAAAUAAAUCAUCAGGGGACACAUUAAGGUGUUUUACAGUGUUGAUAUUUAUUUCCUUUGUAUUUCAUAGCUACACAAAACUAAUUUUGCGAGGAGAGGAGCAGCCAACUCUCCAGAGAUGUGAGGACUACUGUUCCUUGUACCACUGUCCUUUCUGUGGGCCCGAAAUGUUCAAACCCACCAUCAAAAGCAAAUGUUUAAAACAUUUAGAAGGUCACAGAAGAAGAGCGAUACGGCACAAGGGCAAGUAUUAAAUAAUAGUUCUUCAAUUUUUAAAUGUCAUUUAAAGUGCCGAACUGCUCCACACUUUCACUGCGUUAGCUGCACAUCCACUUUUAUGAGGAAAGAUGGUUUUCUAAAACACCUGGCCAUGUGCGAGAGCAAAAAACCCAAAGUGACAGUUGUAGAGUUGAAAUCAGACGAG